GUGCUUCUUACUCUUGAUCCAGGAUUCGAGAGAUGUGAUGUUUUGAUGAGCCAACUCAAGCUCGGCUUUGGAGGACUGAAGGUUGACCGUCAUAUGAGAGACUUCUUUCUGAAGCUUCUUCUCCCGUUCAGUUGUCGCCUGAAAUUCUUUGACGGCAGCAUUCUUCUCAGUGGUAACGGCCGCCACCUUAUCCAUCCAAGAUCAGUGAAAGUUGACGAUCUUCCAAUACUUGCUCUCCAAAGCAUGCAUAUCGUGUGCCCACUAAAAAUAGAAGACAAGUCAAGUCAGAAAAAAAAAGAGGAAUAUUGGAAAAUUACCCCAAAUAUCGUCGGAU
rnacentral:lncRNA from 1 species